rnacentral:rRNA from 1 species
UACAGAGGUCCCAACCGUUGUUCGGAUUCAUUGGGCGUAAAGGGUGCGUAGGCGGCGGGGCAAGUCAGGUGUGAAAUCUCGGGGCUCAACCCCGAAACUGCACUUGAUACUGCCUUGCUCGAGUACUGGAGAGGAGACUGGAAUUUACGGUGUAGCAGUGAAAUGCGUAGAUAUUGGGAAGAACACCGGUGGCGAAGGCGGCCAUCUGGACCGGAACUGACGCUGAGGCGCGAAAGCGUGGGGAGCGAACAGG